GAUGAACGCUGGCGGCGUGCCUAAUACAUGCAAGUCGAGCGAACGGACGAGAAGCUUGCUUCUCUGAUGUUAGCGGCGGACGGGUGAGUAACACGUGGAUAACCUACCUAUAAGACUGGGAUAACUUCGGGAAACCGGAGCUAAUACCGGAUAAUAUUUUGAACCGCAUGGUUCAAAAAUAAAAGACGGUCUUGCUGUCACUUAUAGAUGGAUCCGCGCUGCAUUAGCUAGUUGGUAAGGUAACGGCUUACCAAGGCAACGUUGCCUAGCCGACCUGGGAGGUUGAUCGGCCACACUGGAACUGGACCACGGUCCAGACUCCUACGGGAGGCAGCAUAAGGGAUUCUUGCGCAUUGGGCGAAAGCCUGACGGAGCAACGCCGCGUGAUUGAUGAAGGUCUUCGGAUCUUAAACCUCUUUUAUUAGGGAAGAACAUAUGUGUAAGUAACUGUGCACAUCUUGACGGUACCUAAUCAGAAAGCCACGGCUAACUACGUG
rnacentral:rRNA from 1 species